UACGUAGGGGGCGAGCGUUGUCCGGAUUCAUUGGGCGUAAAGCGCUUUAAGGCGGUUCGCUAAGUCGGGUGUGAAACCUCCAGGCUCAACCUGGAGACGCCACUCGAUACUGGCGUGACUAGAGUUCGGUAGGGGACCACGGAAUUCCUGGUGUAGCGGUGGAAAUGCGCAGAUAUCAGGAGGAACACCGAUGGCGAAGGCAGGUCUCUGGGCCACUACUGACGCUGAGAAGCGAAAGCAUGGGGAGCGAACAGG
rnacentral:rRNA from 1 species